rnacentral:lncRNA from 1 species
UGUAUACUAUCUCUCCCAGUAGUGUCUUAAUCCCAAGAGUAGACACAAACAACACAUAAUCAAGUUUUUCAGACAAUACAUCUAAUUUUGAUGCAAAAACAUGUGAAACAAAUGAAUACGAUACACCAGUAUCAAUCAAGACAUGAGCAAGAUGGUUACAUAUAGUGUACAUACCCUAUACUAUGUCCGGGUUGGCUUCUACAUCUUGCUGAGUGAGAUUGUAAACCCUACCCUGAAUAGGAUGUCUGGCCUGGUUCUGGUUCCUCGGGCACUCCCUUGCAUAAUGUUGGGCGCUACCACAUAUGCGGCAGGUGUUAUUGAGGAGAUAGCAGGGUCGGUCCCCAUGAUCCUUGCCACAAUACUGAUAGAUUUUGUCGUGUCCUGCUGCUAGAACCUGAUGGGGAGCUUGAAUCAUUGGUCUGGGUCUCUUAUUCUGUUGAAUAGGUGCAAUAGAGGCUGGUCUGCGGUGUGGGACUGAGGACCAGAGGUUCCCUACUGCUUGAGGGAGGAUGCGAAGGCUCCUCUCUGCUAACUGUGCCUUAGCCAGAAUAGUGGAAUAAGUACUAAGCUCUAGCACAAACAACUGCUAUCUAAUCUCAGGACGGAGACCCCACUCGAACCUUCUAGCCUUCCUGCCUUCAUCCAUCAUGCUCUCAGAAGAAUAUUGACCCAACUCUAGGAACUUACGAGCAUAUUUUGAUACCGUCAUGUUCCCCUGGACCAAGUGUGUAAACUCCAUCUCCUUCAUAUGUCAGAAAUGCUUUAGGAGGUACUCUGUGUGAAAGGCUGUCAGGAACUGUUCCCAAGUGACUGGAAAGGGCAUGGUGGUUUACUUGAGUUGCCACUGGUGGUCUGCUUCUCCCAUUAGCAUGUAGGUAGUAAGGAUGACCUUCUGUUCGGGAAUCACCCCGAGGGUCUUAAAGGCCUUCUCUAUCUCAACUAACCAGAACACGGCCUCUUCAAAUGAGGAUCCCCCUGUAAAAGUAGAUGGAUUUUAUACCUUUCUAUAUAGCUUAGGUCCAUCAUGAGAGGAGCUGGGUCUCGUGGAUGAGGGACUGAACUGUGCUAAAGAUGGACUGGAUGGCCCUGCAGUGGUACUUGAUAGUACGGUGGAGGCACCGGAUUGUACUGUGGUGGUGUUGGGUGAUGCGGUGACUGUGGCACCAGAUCAUACUAUGGUAGAGCAGGGUCAUAUCGAGAUGGCUCGGGAUCCUCCUGUUGCAGGGUGGCUCAACCUGUGGCGAUGAGAGAGGGUCAAGUAGCUCCUUCUUUUUCUCCCGAGCUUGCUAGGCAGCAAUGAGUCUCCCCACCAUCUCAAAUAACCGGUUAACAUCCUCUCUACGUGAACCCUCCCGGGCUGCUCAGUUUAGUGGGGGUUUUCCUCUCCUCAUCUAUCUAUACCUGCAUUUCAUAAAGAAUGGUUGAGUGACAAUUUAUUAUUUUUUGUAUUU